GUGAAUCAUCAAAUCUUUGAACGCAUAUUGCACUCUCUGGUAUUCCGGAGAGUAUGCCUGUUUGAGGGUAAUUAAAAAGAAUCUUUAACCAAUUUUUUUGGUAAAAGGAUAUGAGUCCCCGGGGUUUAUAGCGGAAGCUUGAAUAAAAUGGUCAAGCCCAAUUUUAGUCGAGACGCGAAAUAUUAUUAUUCGGCGAAUCUUUAUUAUGGUGA
rnacentral:misc_RNA from 1 species